rnacentral:rRNA from 1 species
UACAGAGACUGCAAGCGUUAUUCGGAUUCACUGGGCGUAAAGGGUGCGCAGGCGGCCAAGUGUGUUAGGCGUGAAAGCCCGGGGCUUAACCCCGGAAUUGCACCUAAAACUACAUGGCUAGAGCAUUGGAGAGGGUAGCGGAAUUCACGGUGUAGCAGUGAAAUGCGUAGAUAUCGUGAGGAACACCAGAGGCGAAGGCGGCUACCUGGACAAUUGCUGACGCUCAGGCACGAAAGCGUGGGGGAGCAAAAAGGG